AGAACGAACGCUGGCGGCAGGCUUAACACAUGCAAGUCGAACGCGUGUAGCAAUACACGAGUGGCGCACGGGUGAGUAACGCGUGGAUAUCUGCCUUUUGGUUCGGAAUAACCCCGGGAAACUGGGGCUAAAUACCGGAUGGUUCCUACGGGAUAAAGAUUUAUCGCCAAAAGAUGAGUCCGCGUACGAUUAGCUAGUUGGUGAGGUAAUGGCUCACCAAGGCGACGAUCGUUAGCUGGUCUGAGAGGACGAUCAGCCACACUGGGACUGAGACACGGCCCAGACUCCUACGGGAGGCAGCAGUGGGGAAUAUUGGACAAUGGGGGCAACCCUGAUCCAGCAAUGCCGCGUGAGUGAUGAAGGCCUUAGGGUUGUAAAGCUCUUUUACCCGGGAUGAUAAUGACAGUACCGGGAGAAUAAGCUCCGGCUAACUCCGUGCCAGCAGCCGC
rnacentral:rRNA from 1 species